rnacentral:misc_RNA from 1 species
UAGGAUUUUAGUAGUGGAACUCACAAUUUUUCUUCUCAAUCUUGACUUCUUUUCGGCCUGUGUCGAAACUAAACCUUUUCCUUCCCGCCCCGGCAUCAUGAUGAUGGCCCAUGAUGACGAGCUCUGCGGUUGCUCCUUUUCCAUUUCCAUUUCCAUCUUGGAAUCAGCCCAGCCCAGCUCAGCUCCACCUCGCCUAAUGGACGUCUCCUUGUUUGGCUCUGCUCUGUCGUAUCUCGUUUUCGUAGCAGAAUCAGUCUCUAUAUGGGGCUCCACUCCACUCUGGGAUCCACCUUCCGUUUCCUUCCACUCCUGAUCCACUGAAAUUGCGCAAGCAAACAAACACAUCCAUUUUGCUCCCCUGCUUUUUUGUUUGUUGUUUGGACUCAUCCAACUAGCCGCACUAUCGGCCAUUGGCACUCGCCACUCUCCAUAUAUCAGUAGAGGAGGAUGCUGUCACUCCUCCUGCCCCAGCUCCAGCUCCAGCUCCUGGAAUAAAUUUAAAAAAAAAAAAGAAAAUCUUUUUGCAAGCCAUUUACUGAACCGUGUCCGAGCGAAAAGUCGAAAUGCUGUCGAUGGCGGUGGAAUCUAAACAUUAUGCAAAUGCUCUUUGAUAUUGUUGAAGAGUUUUGUGGCAUGGACAGUGUAAACAUUUCAGGGGGGGAUUGAUCAAUUUUGUGGCAUCGAAUGAAUGGGAAUUUCGUUCUGAAAUUUGUUAUAGUUCCUUUGUGGCGUGUUUUUCAAUUUGUAUUUUCGGCUGAGCUAAAAUGGGGAUUAAUGUUUUCAGCCAGAAAUGAAAUGAAAUGUUGAUCCUUCUCCUUAAGCUUCAGUAAACAAAACAAUGCCAGGCAGCAAUGCCUCGAAACCAGUUUCGAAUCCCAGUCAUAUGGCCAAGUUGGGGGUCUGGCCAAAUAAAGGAUGAGGAGAGAGAACGAAGCAAAAGCAAAUCGAAAAUUGUGUCAUAACAUUAAAAACAAGUUGGCCUAAAACCUGAACCUAUCCCACCGCAAUAAUGAUCAUCGGGCUCAUGAUCACGGUUACGGUUACGGUUACAGGGGGAUGUCUGGUUCGGGGGAGACCUGUUUCCAGACCAGCGGUCGGGAUGUUGGAUUAUGGGCAGCCUGUUUGGUUUGGUUGCCCCAAAGUGGGUCGUCGGCCACUGUCUUCUUGGCCAUGUGGAAUGGAAUGUGAUUUGUAGCUCGAACAAUGUGUGAAAAUGGUCCGACAACAACUUGACUCUCACCACCGCCUUUGUCCUCUGCUCUCUUCUCCUUUCAGCGAAUGUGUUUCAAUGAUGUUACUGCCUUCGGGGCGUUCGAAUAGUGAUGUCUAUCCGCUACAAAAUGCCACCAACAAUACGCCAGGAGGAGGCGGACCUGGAAAUGGAACAGGACCAGUACCAGUACCACUACCAGGAGGAGGCGCCCAGUCAAAGCCCUUGCUACUGACACGUACAUCGUCCCCACAAUUGACAACUUUGCCUACAACAAAUGGCUCCAUCGCCCACGCCACGCCCACCCGCUCAAACGGAUGCCCGUCACAGCCCGGAAUCACUACGAUAGCAACAACAGCCACCCCUCAACCACCACCACCAUCCCAUCCCGGAACGGAGGCGACAACAACGGACCUUGUCACCGCCGGGAUAGGUAUUGGUGGCAACAGCUCCGUAACCGGAAUAUACGGGCCACUUCUGGGUCAAAGUCAUGGGAGUGGCAUCGUUGGCAUGGCCGGAAAUUGGCCAGAAAUUGAUGGACACUUGGAGGCCAUACAGGAGAAGCUCAAGCCCGGCUGGACGGUUCAUGUCGGCAAAGAGGGACGACUCUACUACUGCAAUCACAUGACACAGUCCUCCGGCUGGUUACCCGCCUGCGAGGAUUGGAGCAAACACGAGGAGCUCUCCUAUGGCUGGGAGCGUGCCAUAGACUCCAAAGGUCGUUCCUACUACAUCAACCACCUUAACAAAACAACCACCUAUGAGGCCCCCGAAUGCAUCCGUUGGGACGAACAUCCUCCGGAACCACGCCACGUUCAGCUCCAGAGGAAUGCCAGCCUGGGAUUUGGAUUCGUGGCCGGAAGCGAGCGUCCCGUCAUCGUGAGAUUUGUGACUGAAGGAGGUCCUAGCAUUGGGAAACUGCAGCCGGGCGACCAGAUCCUGGCGGUGAACGGCGAGGACGUGAAGGAUGCGCCGCGGGAUCAUGUGAUUCAACUAGUGCGGGCGUGCGAGGCCCAGGUGAAUCUGCUGGUGUGCCAGCCCAUGGCUCACUGCGUCCUGCCCGGCAGGAAGUCUACACUCCUCUCCGCGGGCAAACGCGCCAAGCUGAGAUCGCGUCCUAGUCGAGUACGAUUCGCCGAGAGUGUGUGCGUCAAUGGAGCUCCCCUGUUUCCGACCUCUGCGUUUUCCCUGGGAGACAUCUGCGUGCCGCCCAUGGCCAACGUUCUGAAGGUUUUCCUCGAAAACGGGCAGACAAAGUCCUUCAAAUACGAUGCCACCACCACGGUGCAGGACGUGGUCAGCUCUCUGCUGGACAAGCUGUGUCUCUGCUGCGGAGAACUCUUCAGCCUGGUCCUGGAGCAUGUGAAGAGCCUGAAGCGGAACAAGCUCACCCUUCUGGACCCCCAGGAGUCGCUGGCAAGGAUUGCCGCUCGUCCUGGGGCCCACAAGCUGCGAUGCCUGUUCCGCAUCACCUUCGUGCCCAUUUCCGCCGCCGAGCUGGCCCAGAGGGACCUCCACGCCCUGGACUACCUGUACAUGCAGUGCUGCAACGACGUCAACCAGGAACGCUUCGCCCCGGAACUGCAGCCAGAGCUGGCCCUCCGAUUGGCCGCCCUCCACAUGCACCAGCACGCCCUGGCCAACAACUUUGCGCCCGCCAAGCUCACCGUCAAGCUCGUCGAACGCGAGUUCGGUCUGGAGCGAUUUGUCCCAGUGACCCUAUUCGAGGGCAUGAAGCGGAAGGAGCUGCGCCGCCUAAUCUCGCACUUCCUGAAGCUCAACGCCGAGAUGACAGGAUCCUCCAGCAAAGUUCUUACACAGCUGCAGGCCAAACUCCAUUAUCUAGAUAUAAUCGCUAGCUUACCCAGCUAUGGAGCCAAAUGUUUCAGCACAAACCAAAGAGAGGGCAUGGAGCGAGUCCUUUUGGUCAGUCCCCGAUUCGGACUCAGCCAGAUAUCCAGUGCCCGCAAUUCUGUGCCCCAACCCAUAUCCGCCAUUGAAGACUUCACCCAUGUGGUAGUUAAUCGCGAGGACGAUGUCACCUGCAGCGUCUCCAUUUUCAUGCUUGGAGAUCGGGCUGUAAAGUUCACCAUGGAAGAUCGGGAUGCCUGCGAGUUCAGCUUAGUGCUUGGAGGCUACUACCGUCUCCUUACAGGCAACAUGUUGAAUGUAUUGCGUGAGCGGGAGCCUCAGGAUGAGGAUAAUGCCCCUGGAUUCCUAGCACAGCACACUGUGCUCCCGGCUGGAUGGAGCUAUCUUUUGCCCUUCCACACUCGAGCGCACAGCGUCAGCUUCCUGAUGACGCCGCCCUACCAUCCUAUAGCCCAAAAGGGCCAGCUCCAGCACCAGUCCUCGAUCCAGGCACCGGCCUCCCUGCCCUAUGCCACGGACCUGGAUCUGCACAGUGUGAUGGCCACGGAACUGCUGGAGGAGGCGGCCAAGGACUCCGGGCUGAGUGACAGCAGUGGCAGCAACUACUGCGAGGGACGCAGCCACCUGGGCAGCCAGCAGCUGGAGGCCAAGAACGAGCAGGUGCUGAGGAGGGUCCAGGAAUUGCAGCACCUGGUCCAGACCUCCGAGCAGUAUCUGAGCGAACAGGAGCAAGGCGGAGGCGGUGGCGGAGUGGCCAUGCUGGAGUUCGACUCCGACUGCGACAGUCUCAAAAGCAGCAAGGUGUCCUCCACGGAAGAGUCGCAAGGUGGCCUGGUCUUGGGGUCAUCGGUGGGCAUCUCACCGGGGCAUCCCGGCAUGAAGCACAGUGACUCGCUGACCCUUCUGGCGGAGACCAUCAACCACGAGCUGAGUGGCAUCACCCAGGGCUUGAACGCCAUUCCCGAAACUGCGCCCGUUUCCUCAUCCGCUCCUGCCACACCAGCCACUCCCAAGAGGAAGCCCAGUCUCUGCACCACCUCCAGCCCGAGGCCACAGAGGAAACUGAAUGGAUUCAGCCAGCUUCUGAGUGACUUGCAGGCCUUGGGCACGGACUUCUCCCAGAGCGAGAGCGACUCUGAGUCGGUGGCCUCGCCUGCCCAGUCGCCGACGGCCCGGAGACCCCAGAUGAUGUUGCUCCAGGCGGCUGGAUCAGGGCCAGGGGCAGCUGCCAAGCAGCAGCUCUCGCAGCGCAGCAGUUUCGGCCUCCACAGUCCGGAUGGAACGCAUUUCGGGGCCGAGACCAAGGACUACAACCUGCGGGAGUAUCUCCAGCAGCUCAAGGAGAUCAGCAAUGCCGCGUCGGCAGACACAGAUGUGGCUGCCCGCCAGCUCUCCGAGAUUUACGGUUUCGAGGUGAGGGAGGACACCUUCAUUGAGACCGAUACGGAUCUUAUCGAUCUACGUUCCAUUCCGCCACCCCAAACGCCCGACGAGCUGGACUCCCUGUCCCUGAUGAACGCCGCCCCGCCAAAGGGUUUCGAGGGCAAGGCCGAGGAGUUGGACAGCUUCCUGCAGCAGAUCAUGGUGGCACCGCCCACACAGAAGGCCACACCCGCCAAGGAGCUCACGCCCGAGGAGAUAAUGUCGUUCAUUAUACCGCCGCCUCCGAACUUGGAGCAGCAGCAGCAGGUGGUGCAGCCAGUGGCCCAGCCCGAGGAGACGGAGUGCCUGUACAGUAACUCCGUGCAGGCCAAGCGGGAGUUCUUCCAGUCGGUGGCCAACGGAAACAGUAGCAGUUCCACCCCCCACGUCAUCGAGUACGCCACGGUGGAGCGGAAGAGCAAGUUCAGCUGCUGUCCCACCAGCAAGAAGGAGGAAGCGGACCAGGAGGAGCUGCAGCCACCACCCAGAACACCCACGUCAGAGCAGCUCUCGCCGCCGCCGGCUCGGCCCCCCAAGAGUGCGGAACUCUUGCAGAGGUACUCGCCCAAGAAGCAGGUGAGGAUUGCCACGAGCCCGGUGCUGCAGCCGGAGCGGCGAGAGCUCUGCCCGCCGCAGUUACCGCCCCGGGGAAGUCCCACACUGGACGGGAAUCAGAGUCCAAACCCAAACGCAUCUCUGGUGAGUGGCCCCAAGAAACCCCCGUUGCCGCCCAUCGCCAGUCGCCCGCGCCCCCAGAACGGAGUGAAUCCCGCACCGUCAACCGCACAAACAGCACCACCUGCCCACUACUCACCACCCAUACCGGCCACCGUCCGCCUGCCCCAGUUCAACAACCACCAGACCAACGGAACUCUUCCCAUGCUCCCGAAGAAACCCCAACAGCUGCACGGCGAGAAACUGUUCAUUAAAAAUGGCCACCUCAUCGAUGGCGAGGCGCUGCUGGCCAAAACAGAUGUGGCCAUGGCGGGUCUGCUGAUCAAGCUGGACCAGGUGGCGGCCCAGUGCUCGGCGGCCCAGGCCGCGGGCGGAGGCACCUCCAUCGACGAGGAGAAGUUCCAGCGGGCCCGGAACGAACUUACCGAACAAACCCUGGCCCUGGUGACGGCCAGCAAGUUCCUGGUGGCCUCCAUGUCGGACAUGACGCUGAUAACGCUGCCGGAACAUCUCACGUCCUGCCUGACAGCCAUCCGGAGGAUUACAGAGCUGGCGCAGGACAUGACCCGGCACACGUCGGCUCCUCUGCAGACCCGGAACAUAGUGCUAAAAGUGCACGAUGUGGCGAGCAGUUUCAGGGAGCUGGUUGGCGUGGAAAUAGGUCCUGUCGGAGCCGGCCAGCUGGCAUUGCAUGCGGAGUGUCUGGCCAAUGUCCUGGCCACUUUGCUGCGAUCCCUGCGAGUGUUCUCCCCAUAACCCGCAGGGAUAAAGGGAGAAGCCAGUGAAGCCCCAGACAGUAAGGAAAACGGAAACGGAAAUGGAGGAGAAAGCGGAAGCGGAUGUGGAAGCGGCAGUGGCAACCAAACCAGUCCCGACACAUCGCACGCUCGUCUGUCUAUGUGCAAGUCCCCGUACACCACCUACGUCUAAAAGUGCAUCGAACCCCAAACAUAUAUGUAUAAGUGAAGGGGCGCGUCAGAGAGUCGAUGGUCUGAUGGCUCUUCAGUCCUGGCCUGGCCUGGCCUAAUCCUCACCUGCCUUCGCUUUAAAU